CGGGCUGUAGCAUAAUGGUAGUGUGCACGCAUGGGGUGCGUGUGGCCCGGGUUCGAUUCCCGGCAGCCCGACUA
rnacentral:tRNA from 1 species